CCCUCAUGUCCGGAGCCCUGCUUCUUUUUUUCCCAGCCCUGGUGCUCGCUUGCUGCUCCCCAUGGCCGCUAAAAUCCCCUGCCCUCUCAUGGCCGCUGACCCAUGGCAAGCUCUGCCGUCGAUCUGCGCAGCUGUCCCGGCAUCGUCGCGCAGCGAGCUCCGCCCUGGAUUUGCGCAGCCCCAAUACACGCCGUCGAUCUGCGCAGCCGCGGCCACGACAGCUCCCUCGCAUCGUGUAUUCCGCCUCAUCGCACUCGUCGUGCUCGACAAAAUGUCGCAGCAUGCUGCACCUUGAACUGUGCAGUCCCGAUUGCGUUGUCGUCACCCCGGAAUAAAAUCCCUGGAAAUUUGGUGGAGAAGAAGGUUCAGUUCAACACUCCCUACGUGUUCGAUGAUAUGCUCAAACCGCUGGUCGUCGUCGUUCUUGCAAAAAAAAAUCAAGUCGGAUCAGGAUGUGGUACGCUAGUUGAUCACGUGAUGCGGAAAUCGAGCUGAGUCGACCACGAGAUGCUGUUAAGCGUGGGCUUCUUCGCAAGGAGAUACUGAUGAUAAACCUGAAGAUGGAUAAUCUGAACGAGUGCCAACACAAAAGGCUGGUCACCAAGUGAUCGUCAUCUAACAACACUCACUUAGUGUUUAUCCCAGGUUGUAAUUUUGUUCUGUUGUGGAUGGUGCUAAGUGCCGGUGGGCUCGGCCUUCUUAUAUAACUCGGAGGUGAGAAGGUAGUUUAUGAUGCUACCAAGAAAAUCUUCUCAAGCUCCAGUGGUCUAGCCGAAGAUAUUCUAUUCUUAUUCACAGAUUGGUUGUCACUACUGGGAGAGAUUGUCAAUAUUGAAACAAUGGUACACACCUAAUUCUUUGUAUUCCUCUUGCAAUCAUCUGCUUUCCUCUGAAUUUGCUUGGGACUCAUGUUGGGUACUUGUGUUUUAACUAUAGCCUACCGCAACUUGCUUGAGACUAAAUUGCUUUGUUGUUGCUGUUGAAUCCUCUGCUACUCCAAGCUUCUUUGAUGUCGGGUGUAACGUUGUAACUGGCUAUCGUUGUUGGCCGAACAUUUGGCUAGCGUGGAUGAUAUAUAUUGCAAUGUGAAUCCAAUAAGCAGGAGAGUGAUCAAUGUAUGUAAUCGUUGUACACUAACAUUUGUCGAAUAUUUUGUAUAUCGUUUCAAGGCACCUAAAUAUUUUCUAAAGAUUUGUAU